GACGAACGCUGGCGGCGUGCUUAACACAUGCAAGUCGAACGGAAAGGCCCUGCUUUUGUGGGGUGCUCGAGUGGCGAACGGGUGAGUAACACGUGAGUAACCUGCCCUUGACUUUGGGAUAACUUCAGGAAACUGGGGCUAAUACCGGAUAGGAGCUCCUGCUGCAUGGUGGGGGUUGGAAAGUUUCGGCGGUUGGGGAUGGACUCGCGGCUUAUCAGCUUGUUGGUGGGGUAGUGGCUUACCAAGGCUUUGACGGGUAGCCGGCCUGAGAGGGUGACCGGCCACAUUGGGACUGAGAUACGGCCCAGACUCCUACGGGAGGCAGCAGUGGGGAAUAUGGCACAAUGGGCGGAAGCCUGAGGCAGCAACGCCGCGUGCGGGAUGACGGCCUUCGGGUUGUAAACCGCUUUCGCCUGUGACGAAGCGUGAGUGACGGUAAUGGGGAAAGAAGCACCGGCUAACUACGU
rnacentral:rRNA from 1 species